rnacentral:rRNA from 1 species
UGUGUGUUAGUGGAAGCGUCUGGAAAGGCGCGCGAUACAGGGUGACAGCCCCGUACACAAAAAUGCACAUGCUGUGAGCUCGAUGAGUAGGGCGGGACACGUGGUAUCCUGUCUGAAUAUGGGGGGACCAUCCUCCAAGGCUAAAUACUCCUGACUGACCGAUAGUGAACCAGUACCGUGAGGGAAAGGCGAAAAGAACCCCGGCGAGGGGAGUGAAAAAGAACCUGAAACCGUGUACGUACAAGCAGUGGGAGCACGCUUAGGCGUGUGACUGCGUACCUUUUGUAUAAUGGGUCAGCGACUUAUAUUCUGUAGCAAGGUUAACCGAAUAGGGGAGCCGAAGGGAAACCGAGUCUUAACUGGGCGUUAAGUUGCAGGGUAUAGACCCGAAACCCGGUGAUCUAGCCAUGGGCAGGUUGAAGGUUGGGUAACACUAACUGGAGGACCGAACCGACUAAUGUUGAAAAAUUAGCGGAUGACUUGUGGCUGGGGGUGAAAGGCCAAUCAAACCGGGAGAUAGCUGGUUCUCCCCGAAAGCUAUUUAGGUAGCGCCUCGUGAAUUCAUCUC